rnacentral:rRNA from 1 species
ACGCUCGACACCUACGGGAGGCAGCAGUGGGGAAUAUUGGGCAAUGGGCGCAAGCCUGACCCAGCAACGCCGCGUGAAGGAAGAAGGCCCUCGGGUUGUAAACUUCUUUUGACAGGGACGAAACAAAUGACGGUACCUGUCGAAUAAGCCACGGCUAACUACGUGCCACAGCCGCGGUAAUCUGAGCGGGCUGGCAAGGC